rnacentral:rRNA from 1 species
AACGAACGCUGGCGGCAGGCUUAACACAUGCAAGUCGAACGCAUCCUUCGGGGUGAGUGGCAGACGGGUGAGUAACGCGUGGGAACGUGCCCUUCAGUUCGGGAUAACCCAGGGAAACUUGGGCUAAUACCGGAUACGUGCGAGAGCAGAAAGAUUUAUCGCUGAAGGAUCGGCCCGCGCCUGAUUAGCUAGUUGGUGGGGUCAUGGGCCACCAAGGCGACGAUCAGUAGCUGGUCUGAGAGGAUGAUCAGCCACAUUGGGACUGGGACACGGCCCAAACUCCUACGGGAGGCAGCAGUGGGGAAUAUUGGACAAUGGGCGCAAGCCUGAUCCAGCCAUGCCGCGUGAGUGAUGAAGGCCUUAGGGUUGUAAAGCUCUUUCGUCCGGGACGAUAAUGACGGUACCGGAAGAAGAAGCCCCGGCUAACUUCGUGCCAGCCGCCGCCGUAAUAC